AUGAACCCAUCAUCCGCCCCGGGUCCUGACGGCUUGCCGGUUAAGUUCUUUCAGACCUUCUGGCCCGCCAUCAAACAGGAGAUCAUGGCCAUCUUCGAGGAGUUUUAUGUCGGUUCCAUCGACCUCAAGCGCCUCAACUAUGGCAUUAUCACUUUGAUCCCCAAGGUCCCGGGCGCCUCCGACAUCCGCCAGUUCCGCCCUAUCACGGUGAUCAAUGUGAUCUUCUGCAUCCUUGCCAAGGGGUACGCCAAUAGGGUGGCCCCUUUAGCUGAC
rnacentral:rRNA from 1 species